ACACCUUAAGUCAUAUUAUAACAGUUUACAUUUAGAUGAGCAUUCUACCGAAGAUGCUCGAAUAAUAAAAACUAGGUGUUACAUUAUGCUUUUAAUUGGUUCUUUUUUAUUUCCCGAAGGUAGUGGUUUUAGUAUGCAUAAUAUGUAUUUACCUUUACUAAGACAUGUAGAUAGAAUAGGAAGUUACAGUUGGGGAUCUGCCUGUCUGGCCUAUCUUUAUAGCUCUUUGUGUAAAAACUCACACAAAGACACAUCUACCUUUUCUGGAUGUGCUGUUUUGCUCCAAGCAUGAGGUUGGUCAAGACUACCGUCCCUAGCACCCGUCAACAACAACUCUUUCACAUUCCCGUAUGCACAAAAAUGGUCGGCAUGUGGUAUGGGUUAUAACAGAUGUCCUAGACAUUGUAUUACCCAGUAUCGCAAUCUAUUGGAUCACCUUCGACCGACAGGCUCAACGCAGAAGACGCAACCGUAUGGACAACAUGCACACCGAUAAUACGAUUCAUAACUGUAGAGAUGCACAACAGUGAUCGUGUAAAGUUGCAGUUCGAUAUGCUUCAAAACAUCCCAGAUCCCCCAGCAAGCCUAGGAGAAUGACAUAUGCACAAAGUUAACGACCAAUGGAACUUCAAUCCAUGGCAAAGCUUUGCAAGAUCUGAGUGUCGCAAAUGGAAGCACCGACGUGACCAUGUCUUAACUGACGCAGUGAUGCCAAAUGAAGAAAAACCAAGUCGUACUUAUAUGGCUUGGUACAGAUCGGUUGGUUUUCAGUUCAUCGCCGAGGAUAUGUACCUGUACGACCCACGCCAACAAACUUACACACCAGACACCUCAACAUCUAACCCACCAACAACAUUGUCAGACCAGAUACACACAACCCCAUGUCCGUCAAACUUUCCGUUCCACAAACACAUAAACAUACAACCCAACAUGCCAUACACUCAACCUCAAUACCAAGAGCAUACCCCAUACCACCACCAACAAAUUGAUCAUCAACCAGAGACCCAACAUCGCUUCGCACCCAACACAUCACCCUACCAAAGUCGCCUUAGCCAGAACACUCAAUGAUCAUUCAACACCAACCGUCCCUCCUCCUACCAUAGCCAAGAAGCCCAAACCUCACAAAACCAAAACCUCCAACAACCCUAUCUCUACCAAACACCCCAACAAUCUUUUCAACCUUUCCUCGACGCAUCAUUCACACACAUGUCUCCCUUCAACCGUCCCGAUCGCCCACCAAUGAGUCAAACACAACCCAACUACUCUAGCAUGGGUCAUGAACUUAGCUAUGGCGAUACACCUUCGAUGCAUACUGAAGACUAUGUCGAUUUUUUUGACUAUCUUAACAGGCCAUCUCUUGUCGUUGGUAGUGAUGCUUCUGGCCCUUAGAUGCUCAAACACCAGUGGUGAAUCAUCAACGCGGAUUAGGGUCACGGGUUAGGGUAGCAAGGGGAUGUGGGACCGGAGGUCGGUUAGGUGAUCCCGGUCAUCACCAUUAGUUUUUUUUUGUGCAAA